rnacentral:snoRNA from 1 species
CCUUCUACCAGAUUUUUGUUGGAAGUAACUGCCUUUUCCAGUGAAAGACUUGAGCAAGGGAGAACAAGUGAAUGUCGCAAUCAAGGAGAGCACUGGCCGUUCUGACCAUUGCUACUUGAGGCUUCAUCGACACUU